rnacentral:misc_RNA from 1 species
GGCAAGACAGAAAUUUUCUUUAAAAAAAAAAAACUGAUGUACCAAAUGGAAUCCUGCAGUUUCAACGAAGCAGUACAAUCAAUUCUCUAAAGAGAUUAACAGCAUCCACCUAGCCAAUAAUGAAAACAACAUUUUUAAACAAAAACUUACUAUCAAAAACAAGAAUUCAGUUUAAGAUGCAAAUCUAAAAGAAACUAUUCAACUAAUCAGACUUUACCCAAGUCAUUGUAGGUGAUUAAAACGUGAACAGAGGAGUUAAUAUUUGAAACAAGGGAGAUGUCGGAUAGUUGGUGAUGGAAGCGUUGGUAGAGUUGAAUAUUGUGAGUAGCGGUUCAAGUUGAAACAGCAUCAAAUCUGUAUCGUUCAGGGAGAUGAACUGAACCUGCUGAAGUCAAAGGGCAUGAGGUCAGUGGUGCCAAAUGAGCCUGCUAGUAGUGAAGAUGACAAAUUGGUCUGCUUGUGGCAUCAAGUUUGAAAUGGGGAGACUCCAAAAAUGGAUCGAUAUGGAAGGCGAAUUUCAUUGAGGAACUGAAGAAGGAACAAAUGAACUUUGGUGGGAACUUGUGUGUGACAGAGGUGGUACUGAAGCUAGGCUUUGUGGGUGUAUCAAUGUGAGUUGGGUGUGGUGCUGUCAGAACUUGUGAGAGCCUAGGAUGAGCACACAAUGGUUAUAACUGAAAAAUCGAAUCGAACCAAACUAUUUUAGUUCGUUUAUUUGAUUCCAUUUUUCGGUUUUACGUUUCGAUUUUGGUUUAGGAAUUUUCAAAAGUUUGGUGUUCGGUUUAGUUCAAUUAUUUUUGCUCAAAAACCAAAAAUUAAUUGAACCUAAGUAAAUGGGCCAUUUCACUUAUAUAGCUUUAGUCUCCCAUAUUAUUUUACCCAAGUUUGCUACACAGCCUAGCCCAUUCUUUGCCCUGUUCUAAUAAAAAUCUAAA